rnacentral:rRNA from 1 species
CCUACGGGUGGCAGCAGUGGGGAAUAUUUCACAAUGGGCGAAAGCCUGAUGCAGCGACGCCGCGUGAGUGAAGAAUUACCUAGGGAUGUUAAGCUUCGUUAGUAGGGAAGUAAAUGACGGUACCUGACCAAUAAGCUCCGGCCAAUUUCGUUCCAGCAGCCGCGGGAAUACGGAGGGGGCCAGGGUUCUCCGGAUUUUCUGGGGGUAAAGGGAGAGUAUACGGUUUGACAAGUCAGGGGUGAAAGGGGGGGGUUCAAUCCGCGGACUGUAGUGGAAACUGGCAGGGUGGAGUGCAGGAGAGGUAGGUGGAAUUCGUGGUGUAGCGGUGAAAUGCGUAGAUAGAAGGAAGAACACCGAUGGCGAAGGCAGCUUACUGGACUGUAACUGACGCUGAGGCUCGAAAGCGUGGGUAGCAAACAGGAUUAGAUACCCGAGUAGUC